UACGUAGGGGGCGAGCGUUGUCCGGAUUCAUUGGGCGUAAAGCGCGCGUAGGCGGCUGCGCAAGUCGGUUGUGAAAUUCCGGGGCUCAACCCCGGAACUGCGUCCGAUACUGCGUGGCUAGAGGUAGGUAGGGGAGAUCGGAAUUCCUGGUGUAGCGGUGAAAUGCGCAGAUAUCAGGAGGAACACCGGUGGCGAAGGCGGAUCUCUGGGCCUUACCUGACGCUCAGGCGCGAAAGCUAGGGGAGCGAACAGG
rnacentral:rRNA from 1 species